rnacentral:rRNA from 1 species
AGGUCCCGCCUGCCCUGUGACUAUAUGUUUAACGGCCGCGGUAUUUUGACCGUGCGAAGGUAGCGCAAUCACUUGUCUUUUAAAUGAAGACCUGUAUGAAUGGCAUCACGAGGGCUUAGCUGUCUCCCCCUCCCAGUCAAUGAAAUUGAUCUCUCCGUGCAGAAGCGGGGAUAAAAACAUAAGACGAGAAGACCCUAUGGAGCUUAAGACGCCAGAGCAGCUCAUGUUAAGCACCCCUAGAUAAAGGAUAAAACCAAAUGAACCCUGCCCUAAUGUCUUUGGUUGGGGCGACCGCGGGGAAAUAUAAAACCCCCAUGUGGAACAGGAACACUAUGUUCCUAAAUCCAAGAGCUCCCGCUCUAAUAAACAGAAUUUCUGACCAACUAGAUCCGGCAAUGCCGAUCAACGGACCGAGUUACCCUAGGGAUAACAGCGCAAUCCUCUUAAAGAGCCCUUAUCGACAAGGGGGUUUACGACCUCGAUGUUGGAUCAGGACAUCCUAAUGGUGCAGCCGCUAUUAAGGGUUCGUUUGUUCAAC